rnacentral:rRNA from 1 species
AUACGUAGGUGGCAAGCGUUGUCCGGAUUUAUUGGGCGUAAAGCGAGCGCAGGCGGUCUUUUAAGUCUGAUGUGAAAGCCCCCGGCUUAACCGGGGAGGGUCAUUGGAAACUGGGAGACUUGAGUGCAGAAGAGGAGAGUGGAAUUCCAUGUGUAGCGGUGAAAUGCGUAGAUAUAUGGAGGAACACCAGUGGCGAAGGCGGCUCUCUGGUCUGUAACUGACGCUGAGGCUCGAAAGCGUGGGGAGCAAACAGGAUUAGAUACCCUGGUAGUCCACGCCGUAAACGAUGAGUGCUAAGUGUUGGAGGGUUUCCGCCCUUCAGUGCUGCAGCUAACGCAUUAAGCACUCCGCCUGGGGAGUACGACCGCAAGGUUGAA